GAAGAAGAAGAAAGAGACUCGCGCAGGCAUGGUUAGGUGAAGAUACAACAUUAAAUUAUGAAAUAGGCUAUAAUGUUGUUGUUUUUUUUGUGUGUGUGUGUGUAACUAAUUGAGUCUUCUAAAUGCAAUUUCUUUAUGAUCAUUAAGAGGCACAUCACUGGUGAAUUUGAAUUGUUAACUGUGAAUCUGAUCUCUGGAAACAGGAUGUGUAAAACCUACUUUGGGGCCUGUCUCUGGUCUGAUGCACGUGAUUGGAUAAACUGAAACCGAGGAUCUGCUACAGAAGCUGAACUGAUUCAUAUUUAGAAAACUCGAGUCCCUGAACUAUGGACUCUACUACUUAUACCUAAUACUUUGCUGGAUCUGAACUCGGAUCACGGACCACCAGUUAACAUCCCUAGGUUUAUCGUUUCGAUAACAACUCCUGCUCUCUAUACUGAUGAAAAAAUGAACACCAGAGACUAUUCUGGAAAACCACUUGUCUUUGUGUUUGCAUCUUGUGCUCUGUAAAGUGUGUUGGUUCGCGACCCAUACCUGCCCGAGAAGGUCUCUCAGCCAUCCUGCCAUGUAAAUUCAAUAACACUUCUGUCCAAACACCUCAUAUUCGGUGGUGCACUGAUUCUGAGGUAGUGGUUGAGCGAAGGGGUGCUGAGUUGUAUGAGGGAUCAGGAUAUGAGGGUCGUGUGGACGUUCCUGAGGACGAGCUGCACAAAGGAAACUGUUCCCUGGUGUUGAAGAGGGUCAGAAAGUCCGAUGAAGGAAUCUAUAAAUGCUACCUGUUACUGAGACGAGCAAAGAGAUCUGCUUCUCCAGAGUGGAGUUUGAUUCAGAGUGUUGAACUCUCAGUCGAUGUGCCAAAAGAAACACCAAAAAAGCCAACUGCCACAGAUAACGCCAGAGUGGACUGUCUUCACCCGCUGGUGAUGGCCGUGUCACUGCUCUCGUGUUUACUCUUUAGCAAGGAAACAUUGUGAGGAAAAAGCUUUACAGAAGCACAUGAAUGGGAAACUCGGGGGUAAAGUGAAACAUAUGGGUGACUUACUGUAACUGCUGAAGAAACGAGCACGUUGGACUGGCGUCCCAUCCGGGUGAAUUCUGCUGACUUGCACCCAGUCUUCCCGGGAUUGGCUCCAGAUCCAGAGCAACACUGACCUGGGGAAAGUGCUGACUGAAGAUGAGGGAAUUGAUGCUCAUUGCCAUGUAGCCUAUUUAUCAGUGACCAAGUUCACUACAAAACACUCUGUUUUCAAUAUGUAAUGGUUUAUAAUACUAAUUAAUGGUUGUACACUUGAGGCCAGAGGUUUACACACUCCUAAUUUAAUUUAUUUCCAUAAGAGGUCAUUUCAAAAUAAUAGCUAAGAGACGGAUUUAUUUCAGAUUUUAUUUACCAGAUCAGACUUUUACAUACACUUUGUUACUAGUUGCUGACAAUCGGUGUCAUUUAUCAAUCUUUUACUGAAUUAUGUGUAAAUGUUUGUGUAAGCCAGACUGAAAAAAAAAUUUCUGCCAGCCAGUAAUCCAUGCAAAUGAUAUUAUUUUAAUUUGCUCAAGUUGAGGUUUACAUUAGUCUUCUUAUUCACAAAUCUCAGGAGCACGAGGAGGAUAAAAUGUUUUUCUGAAACUAUAGGAUUUUCAUGAAUACUAAAUUUCUUGUGUAAAUGCAACAAUUUACAAAACAAUCUAAAUCACAAUCAGCAUUACUGAAGAGGAAAGCUUGGACAGGGACCGACACACUCACUGUUCAGUGCAAAUUGUUUACAUCAAGAGCGGUCCCUUAUAUAUUACUGAAAAUUAAUUAAAAAAAAAAAAUUAUUUAAAAAAUGGUCUUAAUAUUUUUUUAUGAAAUAAAAAUGUAUAAUGAUUAAUUAAUAAUUAAUUUAAAAACGGGUCUUAAUAUUUUUAUGAAAUAAAAAUAAAUAUUUUUUUA